rnacentral:rRNA from 1 species
UGGGGAAUAUUGCACAAUGGGCGCAAGCCUGAUGCAGCCAUGCCGCGUGUAUGAAGAAGGCCUUCGGGUUGUAAAGUACUUUCAGCGGGGAGGAAGGGAGUAAAGUUAAUACCUUUGCUCAUUGACGUUACCCGCAGAAGAAGCACCGGCUAACUCCGUGCCAGCAGCCGCGGUAAUACGGAGGGUGCAAGCGUUAAUCGGAAUUACUGGGCGUAACGCGCACGCAGGCGGUUUGUUAAGUCAGAUGUGAAAUCCCCGGGCUCAACCUGGGAACUGCAUCUGAUACUGGCAAGCUUGAGUGUCGUAGAGGGCGGUAGAAUUCCAGGUGUAGCGGUGAAAUGCGUAGAGAUCUGGAGGAAUACCGGUGGCGAAGGCGGCCACCUGGACGAAGACUGACGCUCAGGUGCGAAAGCGUGGGGAGCAAACAGG